rnacentral:ncRNA from 1 species
GAUCUUAUAAUUUGGCAUUGGACCAUGCCAUAGGCAUUGAGAACCAUCAUUGGUAUGACAAUCCUUGAAAUGGUGAUCAUAUCUCACUUGUAAGCUAAAGAUUCCUAAUGUAAGGCAUGUGUGAUGGUUUAGGGUACUUAUAUUGCAUCUAAUUACUACACACCUAGCACACACAACCACAAACAUGAAGUCUAACACACCUAUAAACAUAAGCAUCAAUGCACCUAAUCUAUUUAUGUACCCACACAUCUAAUUGAUGCAUCUUUUUAGUGACCAUUCUCCCCUGAAGUAAACAGAUAAUCAUGUGUUAAUUAGACUGAGUAGGUCCAAGCGGGAUAGGGGUUAAUGUUUUAAUAAUAACCUAACCUAUACCUUGAAUAUACACCCCCUAACCUUCUAAAUCAUCGAUCCAUAACCCAUAACCCUUCUAAAGACCCAAUGUGGUUUAUUCCCAUUGCUCUCCAUGUCAAAGUGAAGAAAUUCAACCAAGCGUGUCUAAAUGGCGGGAGUAACUAUGAAUAUAUUAAGGUAUCCAGAUGCCUCAUCAUCUAAUUACUGAUGUGCAUGAAUGGAUCAUUAACGAGAUUCCCCACUUUCCCUAGCUACUAUAUUCUAUAGAAACCACAUCCAAGGGAAUGGGCUUGACAUAAUUAGUAGGGAAAGAAGACCUUGUUGAGCUUGACUCUAGUCCUAACCCAUUCAUAGUUUGGGAAAAUUAGGGCAUAGUUUGGGAAAAUUAGACCAUAAAAUUUGUCUUUGGGAGU